GGGUGCGUAACGCGUAUAGAACCUACCUUUUACAGAGGAAUAGCCUUUAGAAAUGAAGAUUAAUGCCUCAUAGUAUUGUAGACUGGCAUCAGUUUAUAAUUAAAGAUUUAUCGGUAAAAGAUGGCUAUGCGUCCUAUUAGUUAGUUGGUAAGGUAACGGCUUACCAAGACAGCGAUAGGUAGGGGUCCUGAGAGGGAGAUCCCCCACACUGGUACUGAGACACGGACCAGACUCCUACGGGAGGCAGCAGUGAGGAAUAUUGGACAAUGGAGGAGACUCUGAUCCAGCCAUGCCGCGUGUAGGAAGAAUGCCCUAUGGGUUGUAAACUACUUUUAUACAGGAAGAAACACUGGUAUGUAUACCAGCUUGACGGUACUGUAA
rnacentral:rRNA from 1 species